UAUUAUGCUGAUAUUCACGAGA
rnacentral:miRNA from 2 species